rnacentral:lncRNA from 1 species
UUCUUCUUCCUUCGUGUUACAGUGAACUGCUCCAAUCUGAGGAUGAUUUGCUGUGAUAUUACUGCUACUGCUAUAGGCUGUUCUGCCCUGGACAUCUCAUGUACCAAAAAAGAGGCUGCCAGAAAUGGAGAGCAGCUCGACUAAUCCAGCCUCGGCGAGUGCUUCCUGUUUGAAAAUGAGGCGAAAGCUUAUCCGACUAUUCCUCUUGCUGUGAAAAUUUCAUCUGUUUUUAUAGAUGCGUUUUCCCAACGGGUGAUCUAGAAC